AGUGAACGCUGGCGGUAGGCCUAACACAUGCAAGUCGAACGGCAGCACAGUAAGAGCUUGCUCUUACGGGUGGCGAGUGGCGGACGGGUGCGGAAUACAUCGGAAUCUACUUUUUCGUAGGGGAUAACGUAGGGAAACUUACGCUAAUACCGCAUACGACCUACGGGUGAAAGCAGGGGAUCUUCGGACCUUGCGCGAUUGUAUGAGCCGAUGUCGGAUUAGCUAGUUGGCGGGGUAAAGGCCCACCAAGGCGACGAUCCGUAGCUGGUCUGAGAGGAUGAUCAGCCACACUGGAACUGAGACACGGUCCAGACUCCUACGGGAGGCAGCAGUGGGGAAUAUUGGACAAUGGGCGCAAGCCUGAUCCAGCCAUACCGCGUGUGUGAAGAAGGCCUUCGGGUUGUAAAGCCCUUUUGGUGGGAAAGAAAAGCAGCAGGUUAAUACCCCGCUGUUCUGACGGUACCCAAAGAAUAAGCACCGGCUAACUUCGUG
rnacentral:rRNA from 1 species